rnacentral:lncRNA from 1 species
UCUGACUGCUCUGCCUGACAAGAACCAUGUGUUACGCGUAAAUAGUUCAGUAAUAUAGGCGAAGUUCUGUUCAAGUGCGUGAAAUUUAUUCAAAUUUCUUUUAAGAUUUUUUUUGUUUGUUUGUUUUUUGUGAGUGAUAAGAGAUGGUUUAUCUGUACUCAAUAAUUUUGAAUGAAUAGAGGGACUUCGACGUACGACUAGCUCAGACACUGUUCCACGUAAGAGCCGUGCAUUAAGGAAUGCAUUCAGUUUUAUUCGCCACUGCCCUUAUACCCUCAGCAUUAAAAAUUCUCACCUAUUUUGUUUACUUUCAACCUCAUGAAACAUUUUUUUCUUGUCAUGGUGACUUCAACUUUUCAUGAGCUGAAUACACACACACAAAUUAACCGAGAGAGUCUGGGAAUUUUAGAUAGACUUUAAGCACUUGAAGUUUCAGCGAAAGUCAUUUUCCUCUCGAAAAAGUCUGAAAACAUAGAACUAAUGAAUUCAAUCCUGCGAAUACAAAAACUGUCAUCGAUCUUACUGAAAAAUCUAAGUAAUCUUUUUGAGAAAAUGAACCGACUUAACACAAAUUCCUACGAAAGUAGUGAGAGAGCUCUUAUAAAAUCAGGAAAAUUGUCGAAGGAUAUUUUGUCGGGAAUUGCUCCCUUUUUCCACUCAGAGAUAUUCCUAAAAGUAUUGCGUGUAAUACUUGGUCCUCACUUGGCUUACAUUUCUAUGUUUUCGCCGUUACUGUUUCUACUGUACUGCUUCAUCUUGUUUCAAGGCGAUGCAUCAUUAUUAAUCCAACCUGUAUCAACGACAGAUUUCUGUUUAAACGAAUUACCACAAGCCAACGUAUCUUGUCAAAGUAUCUUCCAUGGAGAAAGAGAUAUUUUAGCCAGACUGCAUUUGAAUAAUUUGCCGCACUUCAUUAUUGGCUUGUACAUAUUAAUUUUAGUCGUCUACUUGGGCACAGCAGCACUGAUUCACGUAGGUAUUAGACGCAGAACUACAGAGUUCAUCUAUUAAUAUGCAUAAUAAUUUUAUCAUUAUAUAUAUUUAAAAU